CCCGUCAGGGAGUAACGGCUGGAAACGGCUGCUAAUACCUGAUGCCGUCGGAGCAUCACAUGGUGCACUGACGAAAGAAUCUCGGUUCGGGAGGGUCUCGCGGCCUAUCAGCUAGUUGGUGGGGUAACGGCCUACCAAGGCAUCGACGGGUAGCUGGUCUGAGAGGAUGAUCAGCCACACUGGGACUGAGACACGGCCCAG
rnacentral:rRNA from 1 species